CAUUAACGAGUUAGGGUCUCUCUGGCCCGACCUCCCAACCCUUUGUCUACUUGACCAUCGUUGCUUCGGCGAGCCCGUCCUCACGGACCGCCGGAGGGAUCUUUACUGGCCCUCUGGUCCGCGCUCGUCGGUAGCCCAACCUUUAAAAUCUUUAACUAAACGUGCCUUAAUCUAAGUACAAUUAUUAAAUAAAAGCAAAACUUUCAACAACGGAUCUCUUGGUUCUGGCAUCGAUGAAGAACGCAGCGAAAUGCGAUAAGUAAUGCGAAUUGCAGAAUUCCAGUGAGUCAUCGAAUCUUUGAACGCACAUUGCGCCCUUUGGUAUUCCGAAGGGCAUGCCUGUUCGAGCGUCAUUAUCACCCCUCAAGCCCUCGGCUUGGUGUUGGACGGUUUGGUGGAGGCCCCCUCGGGGGUUCCUGCCCCUCCCAAAGACAAUGACGGCGGCCUCGUUGGACCCCCGGUACACUGAGUUCUUCACGGGACACGUAUCGGACACAUGGGUUUACGGGACACGGUCUGCCUCCCCUCAGGGAGAAUCUUUCUAAGGUUGACCUCGGAUCAGGUAGGGAUACCCGCUGAACUUAAGCAUAUCAAUAAGCGGAGGAAAAGAAACCAACAGGGAUUGCCUCAGUAACGGCGAGUGAAGCGGCAACAGCUCAAUUUGAAAUCUGGCCUCUUUGGGGUCCGAGU
rnacentral:rRNA from 1 species